AUUGAACGCUGGCGGCAGGCCUAACACAUGCAAGUCGAGCGGAUGAGGGGAGCUUGCUCCCUGAUUUAGCGGCGGACGGGUGAGUAAUGUAUAGGGAGCUGCCCGAUAGAGGGGGAUACCAGUUGGAAACGACUGUUAAUACCGCAUAAUGUCUACGGACCAAAGUGUGGGACCUUCGGGCCACAUGCUAUCGGAUGCACCUAUAUGGGAUUAGCUAGUUGGUGGGGUAACGGCUCACCAAGGCGACGAUCCCUAGCUGGUUUGAGAGGAUGAUCAGCCACACUGGAACUGAGACACGGUCCAGACUCCUACGGGAGGCAGCAGUGGGGAAUAUUGGACAAUGGGCGCAAGCCUGAUCCAGCCAUGCCGCGUGUGUGAAGAAGGCCUUCGGGUUGUAAAGCACUUUCAGCGAGGAGGAAGGGAUGUAUGUUAAUAGCAUGCAUUUUUGACGUUACUCGCAGAAGAAGCACCGGCUAACUCUGUG
rnacentral:rRNA from 1 species